UACGAAGGGUGCAAGCGUUACUCGGAAUUACUGGGCAUAAAGCGUGCGUAGGUGGUGCGUUAAGUCUGUCGUGAAAGCCCCGGGCUCAACCUGGGAAUGGCGAUGGAUACUGGCGCGCUAGAGUGCGGUAGAGGAGAGUGGAAUUCCCGGUGUAGCAGUGAAAUGCGUAGAGAUCGGGAGGAACAUCAGUUGCGAAGGCGGCUCUCUGGACCAGCACUGACACUGAGGCACGAAAGCGUGGGGAGCAAACAGG
rnacentral:rRNA from 1 species